UACGAAGGGGGCGAGCGUUGUUCGGAAUUACUGGGCGUAAAGGGCGCGUAGGCGGCCUUGUUUGUCAGGCGUGAAAGCCCUGGGCUCAACCUGGGAGGUGCGUUUGGGACGGCAAGGCUAGAGUUCGGGAGAGGAGAGUGGAAUUCCCAGUGUAGAGGUGAAAUUCGUAGAUAUUGGGAAGAACACCGGUGGCGAAGGCGGCGACCUGGUCCGUGACUGACGCUGAGGCGCGAAAGCGUGGGGAGCAAACAGG
rnacentral:rRNA from 1 species